UCAUAGGAGUUAAAAAAUAAAAUAUGAAAAAAUAGAUAGGAAGAUUAGCUGAGAAUGUCCAUAGAGUAGAUUUCAGAUGGUUCAUUAUGAAUGAUGCCAUCCAGUGAGUAACAUUAUUAGUUUCUCUAUAAAUAUGUAAAACCUCAAAAGAUAGUAAUAAUUGCAUUAGUCUCCAGCAAGUUUGCAGAAGAGGAUGAAAUCUACUCUCAAC
rnacentral:lncRNA from 1 species